rnacentral:misc_RNA from 1 species
GAAAUGCGAUACGUAAUGUGAAUUGCAGAAUUCCGUGGAUCAUCGAAUUUUUGAACGCAUAUUGCACUCUGUGGUAUUCCGCAGAGUAUGCCUGUUUGAGUGUCAGUAAAUCUUCUCAAACCUUUACGGGUUUGGAUAUGAGCUUCUGGUAGCCUUUAACAGCGCUACUUGUAGCUUUAAAUGCAGUGGUGAGCAGUUACUUGACUUCUGCUCUGGCUAGACAAUCAGAUCCGAUUUUUUAUUGGAGCUUGUGACAUCUUAGCCUUGCAGUCAGAACUUGAAACUGGUUACCUUGAACCAAACCAAAGUGCGGUAACACCACUUUGAACUUGACCUCAAAUCAGGUAGGACUACCCGCUGAACUUACGC